CUCUAUGGGGCACCAGUAAGGACCGUGUCUCAUUCAUCAUUGUAUCCCUGAUGCCUACAUUACUUUAAUAAAUACAAUAUCAACAUUUUCAUAAAUACAAAUCUAAUAAAUAUAAUAAAAUUUAAAUGUUGAAUGAUUUUCCCCCUGCAUUUUGCUAUGAAAAUGUUGAAUGUACUGAAAAGCUGAAAUAAUUGUUCAGAAAACAACCAUCACCUAGCUCUUCCAGUUAACAUUUGCUUACUUGCUUUAUCGCAUAUGUAUUCAAAUAUUCAUCUCGACUGUUUUUUUUUUUAGAAAACAUCAGUACACCAUCCUUAAACACUUCAGCAUGGAUAUCUGAUGAAUACAGUUUAAAACCACCAUCCACAGCAUUGAGAUAAAAAGGACUGUCCCUCCCACCACAGAAGGAAUGAGCAAUGUGACCUGGGGACUUGUCAAGAUUAUUUUCAUAGACUCAGGAAAGUGCACCACACUGAAGUCAUCAAACCGAAGACACAGGUUGGGCCUCAGGACUUAUCUACCAGGCGAGUCACAGCUCAUGCAGGUUUAUUCUGCACACCCGCUCCUGAAUAACAAGAAGACCACAGACUUGGUGGCAGUAUGAGUAGAUUCCUCGACCCCGGUUGUUCAGCUAGGUUUGAAAGUGAAGAUGGCCCAUGUGGAAGCUUCCCACUCUCUCAUCUAGGUCCCCCUAUAACCAGCAUCGGCAUUUGUAAGAUAGUUGUUCAGAACAAAGGGAGCCCCAGAGUUGACUGUGGCAGCCACAGGCACUGUUGUGUGAAUUAGAAAAGCAGGGGCCCUCUGGGUGUGUUGCUGUCCUCCGGGACCUGGAUGGUCAAGAUGAAGGUGCCUUGAUAUGUUUUUCAGUAUCACUUCCUCUGCCUCUGUGCAGACCCAGCCUCACAGCAGGGCACAGACCUAUGUGAACAGAGCGAGCUGGAUUUCAGCUCCCACUUCCCGCUCUGCUCACUCUGUGUAAAGACAAGUGUGAACAACUGUAGUCAGCAGCCCGACUGGUCUACGCACAGACGACUGUGCACAUGCAAGUGUACAAUCCAAGAAACUGCAGAGUUCAUCUAAAACCAGUGAGCCACAGGAGAGGAGAGCUUGGAGAACAACUUACAUGUACUCUUUCUCUACUUUGUUUUUUGAGGUUUCUUUUUUUCUCUUAGAGACAGGGUCAUACUCUUAGAGGCAGGCUGCAGUGAUAGGAUCAUAGUUCAUUGCAGCCUCGACCUCCUGGGCUCAAGGGAUCCCCCCACCUCUGCCUCUCAAGUAGCUGGGACUACAGGUGUGGACCACCAUGACUGGCUAAGUUCUUCGGUUUUGUUAGAGAAAGGAUCUCUCACUAUGUUAUCCAGACUGGUCUCAAACUCCUGGACUCAAGAAAUCCUCCCGCCUCAGUUUCACAAAGUGCUGGAAUGAGAGGCGUAAACCACUGCACCAGGUUAUUUCUCCCCUUUAUUCUGCAUACGCUCUGUGUAGGUCCAGCAGGCACCAAUAAUACAGUGCUGAGCAGACUCCAUCCCUGCUCUCCUGGAGCUUAAGCUAAUGGAGGAGAAAGGCAUCCGCGAAAUAACUACAUGAUGAAAAUAUAAUUAUAAACCUUGGUCAAUGCUCCUGAGAAAGGAAAUCUCCAUAUAUGCCUGUGACCCAGAAACCUGAUGUAGACCAGCAGUCUCCAAGAAGCAGGGUCUGGGAUCAGAGGAUAAGUAAACACUGGCAAAGCAGAGCUGUGAGAGGCGGAGAAGAGAGGUCUGUGAGAGGCCCCAAAGAAGGCCUGCGCCUGAGGGAGCCUGGCACAGCCAGACCAGAGCAGUCAAAGUGCAGGCCACAGGAAGACGAGGAUCACAGGGGAGGCCAGGGCCAGGCUAGGAAGCCAUUUGGGUCUUAUUAAGACCAAGGAGAAGCCAAGGAAGUGGUUUCAGUGACCGGGUUGAUAAGAUCACAUCUGCAUUUGAAACGUACAGCAGGGCUUGUCCUGCGGAGAAAGGAAUGUUGAUUGAGGAAGGGAAGAUGAGGCUUAAGAGGAGGUUGUGGGAGCAGUCCUGGUGAAAAACGAUGACAGCUGGGAACUUAAAUGAGGGUGAUGGCAGUGAAGAUGAAAAGAAGUGGCCAGCCUUGAGAGAAACUUCGGAGGGGAGGGAACCUGCAGUUGUUGGCAUGGAGAGCUGGAGGCAGGCCCCAGAGCAUCAUGGAGAUCAUCUGAUGACAGAGCAGCUGCACAGAAGCAUUGCAGACUCUGCAGAGGAUGCAACCAACAGCAUCAUGACCACUGUGACAAAACAAGACUAAUAGUUCUCAUAAGAUGCUUCUGAACUGGGAACACCAGUUUCCCAUCCCAGGACAAGAGAACAAAUCCCAUAAGCCGUGAGGAUCAGCCUUAAAGAGAUAAAUAGUUUUUUCCUUAUGGCAUUGUAUAGUCUCUUCCACUUUGCCUGUUCUGUUCAUCCAAGUGCAGUGAGAAGUACUAGCAGCAGCACAGAUGCCACGACACCAACAAGAAAUCUAGAGCAAUGGGCUUGUUCAUCACCAAGUAUACCAGUGAGUCGAGACUGGCCUGUGUUCCAUCCAGGGCACGGGAGGUGGUGUUCACACUUCUGCCAGAAUGAGGAAAUUGCAGCUCAGAGAGACGAAGGAAAUUGGGAGACAGGGGUCUUACCCUAUGAGUGCCGCAGCCUUCCAACACCAGACUUCAGCACCAAAACAGGGCCCGGUGUGGCCAGGCAAGGCAGAGCAAAAACCGGGCUCCUGACAAACACUCACACAAACUGGAGGAGGGAUUUGGAGGGGCAGUUAAGACCCAAACUCCAAUUUCAGCCAGUCUGUAUCACAGUUUUACA
rnacentral:lncRNA from 1 species